GACGAACGCUGGCGGCGUGCCUAAUACAUGCAAGUAGAACGCAGUUGCGAACGGGUGAGUAACGCGUAGGUAACUGCCUGGUAGCGGGGGAUAACUAUUGGAAACGAUAGCUAAUACCGCAUACUACCAGAUGGACCUGCGUUGUAUUAGCUAGUUGGUGAGGUAACGGCUCACCAAGGCAACGAUACAUAGCCGAACUGAUAGGGUGAUCGGCCACACUGGGACUGAUACAAGGCCCAGACUCCUUCGGGAGGCAGCAGUAGGGUAUCUUCGGGAAUGGGGGGAAGCCGGACCGAGCAACGCCGCGUGAGUGAAGAAGGUUUUCGGAUAGUAAAGCUCUGUUAAUCGGGACGCGGUACUUAACCAGAAAGGGACGGCUAACUACGUGCCAGCAGCCGCGGUAAUUC
rnacentral:rRNA from 1 species